CAUGUAAUAGUGUAGUUGGUUAUCACGUCAGUCCGACACACUGAAGGUCUCCGGUUCAUGUCCGUUGGAGGG